GACGUAGGGUGCGAGCGUUGUCCGGAUUUAUUGGGCGUAAAGAGCUCGUAGGCGGCUCGUCGCGUCGACCGUGAAAACCCGCGGCUUAACUGCGGGCUUGCGGUUGAUACGGGCGGGCUAGAGUUCGGUAGGGGAGACUGGAAUUCCUGGUGUAGCGGUGAAAUGCGCAGAUAUCGGGAAGAACACCUAUGGCGAAGGCAGCUCUCUGGGACGGUACUGACGCUGAGACGCGAAAGCGUGGGGAGCGAACAGG
rnacentral:rRNA from 1 species